rnacentral:rRNA from 1 species
AGAGGGGGCAAGCGUUAUUCGGAAUUAUUGGGCGUAAAGGGCGCGUAGGCGGCUUGGCAAGUGGAUGGUGAAAUCCCUCGGCUUAACCGAGGAACUGCCGUCCAAACUGCUUCGCUUGAGACCGGGAGAGGUGAGUGGAAUUCCCAGUGUAGCGGUGAAAUGCGUAGAUAUUGGGAGGAACACCAGUGGCGAAGGCGGCUCACUGGACCGGUACUGACGCUGAUGCGCGAAAGCGUGGGGAGCAAACGGGAUUAGAUACCCCGGUAGUCCACGCCGUAAACGAUGAGUGCUUGGUGUAGCGGGUAUCGACCCCUGCUGUGCCGAAGUCAACACAUUAAGCACUCCGCCUGGGGAGUACGGUCGCAAGGCUG